rnacentral:lncRNA from 1 species
GGAACAUCCUCAUAUAGAGAAGGAUGAAAGCUUCCUGGGAGGAGGGAUUUUAAUUCGUUGCACUCAGGACCUGGCCCACAGUCGGUGCUUGAUGGAUGACUGGGGUCCCUGCCUCCUGCCCGGACCACCCUACCCUGAGAAGAGCAUCGCCCAGCACCCCACCUGCCCGGAGCCCCAAAGAGCCCCGGCCCAGGAACCCCCCUCCCUGGCGGGAGGCAAGCAACGUACGGUCGGAGGCACGGAGAGAGCUUCAGAGGAAGGAUCUCCGCCCGGGCCCUCAUCUCCCGCGGCCGCUGUUCUCUCCGCUGCCCUUCACACUCACCCGUCCCUACCCUUUCCCUUGGUUUUACAGUAGAGUCACCAGGGCUGAAGAAGUCCCGCCUAUGCCCCCAGGAGAGCCCAGAUUUGCACCCGGCUCCCGGCUCCCACCUUUGAUGGCUUUUCCAGGCUUCUCAGGCAGGGAGAGUGGGAAGCCAGCAGCGCAAUAACCUUUUUGCGUCCUGCCCUCCUCUGGCAAGCGGUCCCAGAAGGCCCGGAGCCUUCCUCGGAAGGAUGCUUUAAAAUGCCCCAAAUAAAAUCCUCAGCAUCACCAAGGAAACCCACUGUGUGGGAAUACGGUUACCAAAAUACUGAAAAACAAGCUCCGGGACCCCUGGUCGCGCCCAAGCAUCUCAUCUCACGGGCAGGAAAAUGAGGC